rnacentral:rRNA from 1 species
UACAGAGGUCUCAAGCGUUGUUCGGAUUCAUUGAGCGUAAAGGGUGUGUAGGUGGCGCCGUAAGUCGGGUGUGAAAUUUCGGAGCUUAACUCCGAAACUGCAUUCGAUACUGCGGUGCUUGAGGACUGGAGAGGAGACUGGAAUUCAUGGUGUAGCAGUGAAAUGCGUAGAGAUCAUGAGGAAGACCAGUGGCGAAGGCGGGUUGCUAGGCUGACACUGACGCUGACAGCGCGAAAGCCAGGGGAGCAAACGGG